CCAAGGAGUCUAACAUGUGUGCGAGUCGUAGGGAAAGUCUGAUAUGAAACCCGAAGGCGUAAUGAAAGUGAAGGUUGACUUAUUGUUGACCAAGGCGGGAUCCAUUCGAGCUUAACGGUUCGGCCGAGCUUGGUGGCGCACCGCCGGCCCGUCUCAACCGCAACGCCGGUGAGGCGGAGCAAGAGCAUACACGUUGGGACCCGAAAGAUGGUGAACUAUGCCCGGGCAGGACGAAGCCAGAGGAAACUCUGGUGGAGGUCCGUAGCGAUUCUGACGUGCAAAUCGAUCGUCGGACCUGGGUAUAGGGGCGAAAGACUAAUCGAACCGUCUA
rnacentral:rRNA from 1 species